UAAGAUUAAGCCAUGCACGUCUAAGCAGAAGCUGAACAAUGGUAAAGCCGCGAAUGGCUCAUUACAACAGCCGUCGUUUCUUGGAUCUCUUGUUUUACUUGGAUAACUGUGGUAAUUCUAGAGCUAAUACACGCACCAAAGCUCUGACCUUAUGGGAUGAGCGCAUUUAUUAGAACAAAACCAAUCGGGUUUCGGCCCGUUUGUUGGUGACUCUGAAUAACUACACUAAUCGCACGGUCUCGAACUGGCGAUGCAUCUUUCAAGUGUCUGCCUUAUCAACUUUCGAUGGUAGUUUAUGUGCCUACCAUGGUUGUAACGGGUAACGGAGAAUAAGGGUUCGACUCCGGAGAGGGAGCCUGAGAAACGGCUACCACAUCCAAGGAAGGCAGCAGGCGCGCAAAUUACCCACUCUCAGCACGAGGAGGUAGUGACGAAAAAUAACGAGACGGAUCUCUUUGAGGCCCGUUAUCGGAAUGAGAACAAUUCAAAUCCUUUAGCGAGGAUCUAGCGGAGGGCAAGUCUGGUGCCAGCAGCCGCGGUAAUUCCAGCUCCGCAGGUGUAUAUCUAUGCUGCUGCGGUUAAAAAGCUCGUAGUUGGAUCUGCGUGCUUGGAACUGGUUGGCUCACUGAGUUCAAACUGGUCUCCAGCACUUUACUUGCUGGUUUUCCCUUAAUGCCCUUAACCGGGUGUUUUGGGUGGCUGGCGCUUUUACUUUGAAAAAAUUAGAGUGCUCAAUACAGGCGCAAAGCCUUGAAUAGUGGUGCAUGGAAUAAUAGAAUAGGACCUUGAUUCUAUUUUGUUGGUUUUCGGAACACGAGGUAAUGAUUAAGAGGGACAGACGGGGGCAUUCGUAUUGCGACGUUAGAGGUGAAAUUCUUGGAUCGUCGCAAGACGGACGACUGCGAAAGCAUUUGCCAAGAAUGUUUUCAUUAAUCAGGAACGAAAGUUAGAGGGUUCGAAUGCCGAUCAGAUACCGCCCUAGCUCUAACCGUUAACGAUGCCCACUAGCGGAUCGCGGCGUUAACAACGACUUACGGGCAGCCUCCCUGGAAACGAAGUGAUCCGUUCCUGCGAGUAUGGGUGGCAAGCUGAAACCUAACGAACUGACGGAAGUCACCACAGGAGCGGACUGCGCUUAAUUGACUCAAUCAGGUAACCACCUGACGUACCGUACGCAUGACAGAAUCGAGAGACAUCUAAUC
rnacentral:rRNA from 1 species